GAACCCUACUACCCUCUCCUGCACACAACCACUUCAGUCAGUGUGCUCAAAUAGUUCUCACUUGAUCAUUUUUGAGGGAAAUACCAGGCACAAUUUAGUUGUUUUAAUCCUAAGAGAAAAAUGUUGGUUUCUGCUGAGUCAGUAUCUGGUAUUUUAACUAGCUUAGCUUUCCCUGCGGCUCAGGCCAAGGGUGUGCCUUCCUGGAGUGAAGGACUUUCACAGCCCAGCUCUCUGGUAUGGACCCAAUGUCACUGACUACUGAUUCUGCUCAGGGCCUCUGGAAAGCCCCUUUGGAAGUUGGGUGUAGCCAUGUGGCUUUCUUGAAUCAGUGAAAUGUGAGCAAAUUGAUGGUGUCGCUUCUGGGCAGAAGUGGUGAGAUCCAGGAAUCCGACAGGCCACCCACCCACUCCCUGCAUUCUCAUUUCCUGCCUUGGUAAUUGUAAAAGGAUGUUCUGUGAUGUUGUUGCCUGAAUUAGGCAGGGACAAUAAAUACAUUUUUUGGACGGAGACUCACUAGUUUCCUCAUUUGUCUGUGGGUACUGUGAGCACUAAUGUAGACCACAAAAACUAUCCUACCCUUUCUAAUACUGCCAGUGCCAGAGAGCCAAUCAAGGCCCCGCCUCUUUGCCUCCCUCCCACACCCCUGCUCCACAAACUCCAUGCAGAACCAGGCACCAGGCGGGGCAGUCACAGCUCAGCAAGGAGAAGCAGCAGGAUGAGGAGAUCUGGCAGCUGCAGAAGGAACAUGGGGCCUGCUCUCAUUCCUGCAGAUGGGAAGGAGAGAAGGAAAGGAUUCUGCAUGGGAAUUCUCAAGACACGGGCCUCCCAAACUUUUAGAGCUUCAUCUUAAGCAACACUACUGAAGUAUUUGUUACUCAUACCCACAUCUUUCAAAUGAGGAAAUUGGGGCACAGAUUGCUCAGGUGACUGGCGUAGAGUCACAGAGCUGGUGAUGGCUGAGUCCAGAUUACCACUGAGGUGGUCUGACUCCAAACCUACAGCACGGAGCAUGGUACAAUGUUUACUUUUGCCUGAAAGUGUUAAGAAAGGCUUACCACUGGAAGAGACAUCUGAGGUAGGUCCUGAAAGAUAAUUACCGUACUGAAAUUGAUGGUGUUUUAGAUGGGAUGAAA
rnacentral:lncRNA from 1 species